UACCAGCACCCCGAGUGGUCGGGACGAUUAUUGGGCCUAAAGCAUCCGUAGCCGGUUCUGCAAGUCUUCCGUUAAAUCCACCUGCUUAACAGAUGGGCCGCGGGGGAUACUACAGGGCUAGGAGGCGGGAGAGGCAAGCGGUACUCAGUGGGUAGGGGUAAAAUCCUCUGAUCCACUGAAGACCACCAGUGGCGAAGGCGGCUUGCCAGAACGCGCUCGACGGUGAGGGAUGAAAGCUGGGGGAGCAAACCGG
rnacentral:rRNA from 1 species